rnacentral:rRNA from 1 species
GAUGAACGCUGGCGGCAUGCUUAACCCAUGCAAGUCGGACGGGAAGUGGUGUUUCUAGUGGCGGACGGGUGAGUAACGCGCAAGAACCUGCCCUUGGGCGGGGAACAACAGCUGGAAACGGCUGCUAAUACCCCGUCGUCUGAGGAGCAAAAGGAGGAAGCCGCCCGAGGGGGGGCUUGCGUCUGAUUAAUUUGUUGGUGAGGCAAGAGCUUACCAAGGCGAUGGUCCGUAGGUGGUCCGGGAGGAUGGUCAGACACAGUGGGACUGAGAGACGGCCCAGACACCGACGGUAGUCAGGAGCGGGGAGUGUUCGGAAAUGUGAGAAAGCCUGACAGAGCAAUGCCGGGUGGAGGUAGAAGGGCGACGGGUCAAGAACUGCUUUUUCCGGAGAAAAAGCAAUGACGGUAUCUGGAGAAUAAGAAGCGGCCAACUCUGGG